UACGAAGGGGGGCUAGCGUUGCUCGGAAUCACUGGGCGUAAAGGGUGCGUAGGCGGGUCUUUAAGUCAGGGGUGAAAUCCCUCGGCUCAACUGAGGAACUGCCUUUGAAACUGUCGGGCUUGAGGCCGGGAGGGGGUAGCGGAAUUCCCAGUGUAGCGGUGAAAUGCGUAGAUACUGGGAGGAACACCAGUGGCGAAGGCGGCUACCUGGACCGGUUCUGACGCUGAUGCGCGAAAGCGUGGGUAGCAAACAGG
rnacentral:rRNA from 1 species